GACGAACGCUGGCGGCGUGCCUAAUACAUGCAAGUCGAACGCACUCUCGUUUAGAUUGAAGGAGCUUGCUCCUGAUUGAUAAACAUUUGAGUGAGUGGCGGACGGGUGAGUAACACGUGGGUAACCUGCCCUAAAGUGGGGGAUAACAUUUGGAAACAGAUGCUAAUACCGCAUAAAACCUAACACCGCAUGGUGUAGGGUUGAAAGAUGGUUUCGGCUAUCACUUUAGGAUGGACCCGCGGUGCAUUAGUUAGUUGGUGAGGUAAAGGCUCACCAAGACCGUGAUGCAUAGCCGACCUGAGAGGGUAAUCGGCCACACUGGGACUGAGACACGGCCCAGACUCCUACGGGAGGCAGCAGUAGGGAAUCUUCCACAAUGGACGAAAGUCUGAUGGAGCAACGCCGCGUGAGUGAAGAAGGUUUCGGAUCGUAAAACUCUGUUGUUGGAGAAGAAUGUAUCUGAUAGUAACUGAUCAGGUAGUGACGGUAUCCAACCAG
rnacentral:rRNA from 1 species